rnacentral:rRNA from 1 species
CGCGUAGGCGGGGGACCAAGUCCGGGGUGAAAUCUUUCGGCUCAACCGGAAAACUGCCUUGGAUACUGGUCUUCUUGAGGGAGGUAGGGGCAGGUGGAACUUCCGGUGGAGCGGUGAAAUGCGUUGAUAUCGGAAGGAACGCCGGUGGCGAAAGCGGCCUGCUGGAUCUCUUCUGACGCUGAGGCGCGAAAGCUAGGGUAGCGAACG